rnacentral:lncRNA from 1 species
AGAGGCAUGUAUGUGUUAAGGGAAAGAGGCCCUGGGAGCCAGGAAUGCAGGGCAGAUCAGAUCGAGCCAAAUCAGGAAUCGAAGUUCUCACAGUCACUACUGAGCCCAGGGAUAGACCAAGGUACUGGGAAUGGAACCUGGGACUUGACACAUGUGAGAUUCCAAUACUUGGUUACUAUUCCUGUGAUUAAAUACGAUGCUGUGGGUCUAGCUCAGUGUGGAACAUUCGCCAACAUGCACAAGGCUCUGGGGUUGAGAAGAAAGGAAAAAGGGAGCAAGAAAUUCAAGCUGAGAUGUAGGUGAGUUGGUGGUGCUCUGUUGGCCAGAAGGCUAAGUGCCCUGACUGGAGCUUGCAGAGAGAGGCCUCAACCAAAUCUGUCCACGUCACUCAUCUGCCUUGUUUCAGCUACAGGCUGACCCCUGUAGUCGGAGGUGCAGUGGAGGAAGGUGGGUCUGGCUGUUAUCAGAAUGUGGUUAAGACAGGGUAGUAGUGUACCCCAAUUGGGUAGAGAAGGACAAACUUAUCAAAACACAAGAAAAACACUGACGUGCUAAGAAGAGAUGCCACUGGAUUUAAAAUGAAGCGUCACAGAAAGUCCUGUGUGCAGGAACAGUGUCAUUGAAGGACUAGCAGAAGAUCUAACUGCAAGCUAGACAGUGGUGAACAGGACUCCAGAGGGAUAACCAAAGGUAAAUGAAACAUUGGCC